rnacentral:rRNA from 2 species
AGUGAACAAUUAAACGGCCGCGGUACCCUAACCGUGCAAAGGUAGCGUAAUCACUUGUCUAUUAAUUGUAGACCAGUAUGAAAGGCAUAAUGAGGGUCUAUCUGUCUCUUACAAUAAAUCGAUUAAACUGAUCCUCUAGUAAAAAAGCUAGAAUCUGCACAUAAGACCAGAAGACCCCGUGAAGCUUAAACUAAACUAUUAAACCCUAUAAUACCUACUUUCGGUUGGGGCGACCUUGGAAAAAAAAAGAACUUCCAAACAUAUGACUACACUCACACACAGACCAACAAGCCUAUAACGACCCAGUAUAACUGACAAUUGAACCAAGCUACUCCGGGGAUAACAGCGCCAUCUUCUUCAAGAGUCCAUAUCAAAAAGAAGGUUUACGACCUCGAUGUUGGAUCAGGACAUCCUAA